rnacentral:rRNA from 1 species
CAACGUACAAACCUUAUCGAUAAACAAUUGGAGGGCAAGUCUGGUGCCAGCAGCCGCGGUAAUUCCAGCUCCAAUAGCGUAUAUUAACGUUGUUGCAGUUAAAAAGCUCGUAGUUGAAAUGAAGGGUAGUUGUGUAAUGAAUACAUUCGUGUAUUUUGUUAUUCUACUACCCUCCUUCUAAAUUCGAUAUAUGAGUAUUAAUUUACUUGUAUAUGGUUUUAGACYUUUACUGUGAGAAAAUUAGAGUGUUCAAAGCAGGCAUUUGCUUGAAUAUAUUAGCAUGGAAUAAUCAUGUAUGAUUUUCAUGAUGUAUUUGAUUGGUUUGGUUCAUGAGAAUAAGAUUAAAAGGGACAGUUGGGGGUAUUCAUAUUCAAUAGUCAGAGGUGAAAUUCUCGGAUUUAUGGAAGAUGAACAAGGCGGAAAGCAA